rnacentral:tRNA from 1 species
ACGCGUGUGGCAGAUGUUGUUUGCCGCUGCGGGCGGCUUGGUGCCGAUAACGCGAAUCGAGUGCGAGUCUGGCGCGGGUUC